rnacentral:ncRNA from 1 species
UCCGGCUGUUCGCCGGUUAAAGUGGUACGCGAGCUGGGUUCAGAACGUCGCGAGACAGUUCGGUCCUUAUCCGCUGUGGGCGCAGGAAGAGUGAGGGGUUCAGACCUUAGUACGAGAGGACCGGGUCUGACGAACCACUGGUGUUCCAGUUGUCUUGUCAAAGGCAGUGCUGGGUAGCUAUGUUCGGAAAGGAUAAGCGCUGAAAGCAUCUAAGCGCCAAGCCUCUCCCAAGAUGACUCUUCCCCGAAGGAUCGUGGCAGACCACCACGUUGAUAGGCUUCCGGUGUAAGCAUGGUAACAUGUUCAGCUGAGAAGUACUAAUAAUCCGUUCGGCUUGGUCAU